AAUAAAGUUCCGGCAAUCUCAACACAAGUUUUAUUGUUUAACCAACGACAUGAAUCACAAAUUAUGAUAAGGUGAAUAUUCAGAUAUUGGACAUCGUUCGAACGUCGACUCGAAGAAUUCCAAUACUGGUGGAAAGUUGGAGGGAAAUCUUUGGAAUCGUGGCACUAUGACAAAAAAAAUCCCUCUUCGCAAUAACCGCGGAAACCUAUCUUCCAAGAGUUGAUUAAGACUACUUUUUUUUUUAAACUACUUGUAUAAUUCACGCAGAGGGAAAUAACCUAACUGACAACGAGUUCAAUUCAUUUAACGCAGACAUAAAACUACUUUGUAUUUAUUUAAAAACAAUAUGCUUGUGACGCUUACGACUAUGACAUGAAAACGAAUUAAGACUAUGAAGGAAAUUAAUGUUUUUUUUCUAACUUACGGCCCAAUUUGUUUAUAUAGCGACUAUACUUGAUCGUUUCCACUAGUAGAAGGCUUUUGAUAUUGUUAUUACGAAUACCAUGUGGUGAAAGUUAGGUAUAUUUACCAGUUAUUAUUGUACCUCUCUACCUUUAAUUUUUGUAUAAUCACUGCUAAAUUUCGUGACUUUUGCAGGCUUUUUACUGGUUGUAGGACCUCUUGUAAGUCCGCGCGGGUAGGCACCACCACUCCGCCCAUUUCUGCCGUGAAGCAGUAAUGCGUUUCAGCUUGAAGGGUGGGGCAGCCGUUGUAAUUAUACUGAGACCUUAGAACUUAUAUCUCAAGGUGGGUGGCGCAUUUACGUUGUAGAUGCUUAUGGGCUCCAGUAACCACUUAACAUCAGGUGGGCUGUGAGCUCGUCUACCGAACUAAGCAAUAAAAAAAAGGCAAAACUCAGGAAUACAUCGAGGUUUUUAGGGAGUUGCUCGUGUGGGUUCCCUCGUUCUACCACGUCAACCUAGUAUUGGAUUCGCUCACGCGACCCUUACAUUGACACCUUCCAGGUCAUCCAUUACCGUUUCUGCAACAUAGCCGUCGGAGCACUAUGGCACAUGAGGAAAGUAGAUCUUCACGACGACCUUCAAUUAGAACUGAUAAAGUGGUAUCAGAAGACAGCGUCGAAACGUUAUUUCAAAUAAAUAAUAGUUUAAAAAAACUAACAAAAUACGCUUUUAUAGAAAAUCCAUGCUUUUUAGGAUAUUAUCAAAAUAACCCUUCUACUCAUAUCUGUUCAUAAAAUAUUUAUAGCUACUGAUACCAUGCACCCCACGCUUUUUUUACAAUAAAAUCAUUUUUUCUUACACUAUUUUUAGUUCAAAUUUACUAACAUUUAUUUUCUGUUUUUUAGUUGGAUUUUCUAUAAAAGCGUAUUUUGUUAGUUUUUUUAACUAUUAUUUAUUUUUCAUUUUUUAGUUGAAUUUCAAUUUUUCGAUAUAUAUUUUUUUCAAUAUUUUUUUAAUAUUGAAUUGUCAUCUGUCCUUAAUACGUAUACCAAAUUUCGAGUUAAUCCGACGUUUUGAAGGGGGUAAAAAUCAUGUUCAAAGUUUCCGUUACAAACAUACAACUAAUAAAAGCGUAUUAAAAAGCGGCGCGAACCGGUAAUCCUCUUAUCGUGGCCGCCGGAAACUACAUACCCGAUCCAGACCACCAAAGGGUAAACAGUUGACGUCGCCACUAUUGGUGCUUUUAGGCAUUCUAAACACCGGUUACAUAUUAAGUAGGUAUAUUAUAAUGGUCACCGUUCUCGUCGAUCCCGUCGAAUGCGACGAAGGGUUCGUCAUGAAAAGGUCUUAUAACCGUUUCCAAAUUUAACAAUACGUGUAGUCAGCAUGUCACGUUACUAAUUGAAGUCCGGCUAUCGUAUUAACAUGCGAAUCAAUACGUUCAACACCGUACGAUAAGAGGAAGUAGUUCUAAUUUGGCUUGCAAGAUUGGACCCAAGCAAACGUAAACGUCCAUAAAUAUAAAUGUUGCAAAUUGAGUGAAAGGACAAAAGGUUUUAAACACUGCCACUACAAGUCGCGACGAUACGCCUUUUAUGUUCCUGAACAGAAAUUUACUAAUAUAACAUUUUAAGGAGUUAUAAAAUAAAAAGUUGCAAAAUAACUCCAAUUUAUUGGAUCGAAAUAUAAUUAGAUCAUAAUAAAUUUCGUUUAUAAUAACAAAAUAAUUGGUUACAGUUAUUUUUUUUUACUGGAAUUACAGAAACUGUCACAGUUAUCUUUGAAAUAAUUGUACCAAAAAAAAAUAAACAUAACCUAUAUUCGUAAACAA